GAUGAACGUUGGCGGCGUGCCUAACACAUGCAAGUCGAGCGUGAAAGUCCUUCGGGAUGAGUAAAGCGGCAGACGGGUGAGUAACACGUGAGAAUUUUCCUUUCAGUGAAGAAUACCUUUGGGAAACCAAAGUUAAUACUGCAUGCGUCUCGAAAGAGAGAAAGAUGGCCUCUUUGCUGUCGCUGAAAUAUAAGCUUGCGCUCUAUUAGUUAGUUGGUGAGGUAAAGGCUCACCAAGACGAUGAUGGAUAGCCGGCCUGAGAGGGCGAACGGCCACAUUGGAACUUAGACACGGUCCAGACUCCUACGGGAGGCAGCAGUGGGGAAUAUUGGACAAUGGGCGCAAGCCUGAUCCAGCCAUACCGCGUGGGUGAAGAAGGCCUUCGGGUUGUAAAGCCCUUUUGUUGGGAAAGAAAUCCAGCUGGCUAAUACCCGGUUGGGAUGACGGUACCCAAAGAAUAAGCACCGGCUAACUUCGUGCCAGCCGCCGCCGUAA
rnacentral:rRNA from 1 species